GACGAACGCUGGCGGCGUGCUUAACACGUGCAAGUCGAGCGGUAAGGCCCUUUCGGGGGUACACGAGCGACGAACGGGUGAGUAACACGUGGGUGACCUGCCCUCAGCUCUGGGAUAAGCCCGGGAAACUGGGUCUAAUACCGGAUAUGACUUCAUGACGCAUGUUGUGGAGUGGAAAGCCUUGUGCGGCUGAGGAUGGGGCCCGCGGCCUAUCAACUUGUUGGUGGGGUGAUGGCCACCAAGGCGACGACGGGUAGCCGGCCUGAGAGGGCGACCGGCCACACUGGGACUGAGAUACGGCCCAGACUCCUACGGGAGGCAGCAGUGGGGAAUCUUGCGCAAUGGGCGAAAGCCUGACGCAGCGACGCCGCGUGAGGGAUGACGGCCU
rnacentral:rRNA from 1 species